CACGUAGGGGACGAGCGUUGUCCGGAUUCAUUGGGCGUAAAGCGCGCGUAGGCGGCUCGGAAAGUCGGGCGUGAAAUGCCGGGGCUCAACCCCGGGACUGCGUCCGAUACUUCCGAGCUGGAGGUAGGUAGGGGAGAUCGGAAUUCCUGGUGUAGCAGUGAAAUGCGCAGAUAUCAGGAGGAACACCGGUGGCGAAGGCGGAUCUCUGGGCCUUACCUGACGCUGAGGCGCGAAAGCUAGGGGAGCGAACAGG
rnacentral:rRNA from 1 species